GGUCUCUUUCAGCCACUUCACGAAACAGACCUGGGAACGCGCAUUGACGGGUUACGCCUCUUCUAAUGACAUUUUUUCGCUCUUUUUCUUUUCCUGGAAUAUAGAGGCGCGAGACAUCCUUAACACGCCACCUAUCUUCACGCGCAGGGAUAAUUGAGUAGUAUGUGCGCGCGUUGUUGUGGAGAGGGAGAACGUGAUCAAGUUGUUGUCUCCCAUGAGAUUGUAUUUGAUCAUUUGUAGGCUGUGCUUUGAGUCAAAUGUGAGAGGAAUUACCCACGCAUCAGAUUUCCAAUAGCGACUUCAUAAAAUAAACAAAACAGCAGUGUAUUGGAGUGAGAGAGAAGGUAUUUAUAAUGCGGUGACAACUACUCUCCAAACUGGCAUAUGAAAGGAGCGCCAAGGUACCUGAUUGGAGCGCACAGGUAGUUUACCUGCACGCAAAUGGCUGCCUUCCGGCAUGUAUUCAGAGGCACUACAGCGCAUACGUCUGCCUUUUUAUCUUGACUGAUCCACUCAUAGCCAACUGGAUUAGACUGGAGAUCAUACCAGACCAGGAGUAUGGGAACUGGGUGAAGAUGUUAUCAGAGGACCUGAGCCCUAGGACCAUGCCUCAGGGCUAUCUGGCCUGAUGACUCCUUGCUGUCCCCAGUCCACCUGGCCGUGCUGCUGCUCCAGUUUCAACUGUUCUGCCUGCGGCUAUGGAACCCUGACCUGUUCACCGGACGUGCUACCGGUCCCAGACCUGCUGUUUUCUACUCUCUAGAGACAGCAGGGGCGGUAGAGCUCCUCUUAAUGAUCUGCUAUGAAAAGCCAACUGAUAUUUACUCCUGAGGUGAUGACCUGUUGUUUCUGUACAGCAUUUUGAGAUAUCAGCUGAUGUAAAGAAGGGCUAUAUAAAUACAUUUGUUUUGAUUUGACCUGAAUUGCCCUAGAGGCACCAACUUCAUCAACUUUAAGGACUUUUGGAGAUCAUUCGACAUGAGGGGCGCAAUUGUUUUUAAGCAGAUUUAUCUAUUAUUUAUUUAUGAAAGAAUCUCCAGCCCCGAAUCCUUGUCUGUUGACUUAUACGUCUGAAGGUUAACAAUAAGAUUAGCUCAGAUGCUCCCAGCCACGGGGUCCUGUAUGGCUGCGCGCGAAAACAUCGCAGACACAGGUGGUGUCCUGUUCCCAAUCUCACUCAUCCUAAAACAGCUUUGCAGCUGCCAGCGAGGAAAAAAAAGAAAAGAAGGAGAAACAUCUGUUCGGAGAUUGCGUUUUUGUAAGACUGAUUAACGAGCAUAAGCCUCUGUUGCCAAUCCCCCACCUUGUCGGGCCAAGUAGUUUCCAAGCAUCGUCUGAUGCCUAAUGCAGGGCAGAAUUUACACAGAAAGAUAUAGAACAUCAUUUAGGAAUAAGAGACCUUUCAUAAAUCCCUAACACUCCAUCAAUAUGCCAAGAAAUUGGUGUUUUCUGAGGUGCACGUGUUUAAUUCAGUUGUAAAGAUCACUUUACCUCCAGUCUAGAUAACAAAAACAUGUAUUUGUUCUCUGUUGCCAGAGAAUAGCGCAAAUAAGGUUUCCCCAAAUAUAUGAUUUGUCUGUUUGUUUGUCUUUUUACAUUGACACCCAGCACUGUAUUGCCGUACCAAAUUUUACACUCUAAAAGCUAGCCCAAUCAAACAAAUAGUCCCAAUUAUUUACAUUUUAUAUGUUGGAGAAUGUGUUCAGAAAUUGCUAAACAGAAGAGAAAAAACAUAACAUAUGUAAACUCAUCCAAACGUCAACGUUAAUCAUUUUGUGUGUAAGUUUAAGCAGGGCAGAAGUGGAAGAAGUGGAAGAGGAGUGGAGAAGACGUAGCGCACACCCACAAACCUCUCUCCCACACCAGGGAUUAUUGGCCGUGGUCCGUUGCCAAGAUCAUGUUAGGUAAGUCUGCAGAAGGAAACAAACCGCAGGAAUAAAGGUGGGAGCUCUUGGGAACGUUGAGAGUUUUGAAGGCAGGAAGAGAAAGGAAGAGAGGAAGAUAUGAGAGUAGAGGGCGGGAAGAGGAAUGGAGGGGGCGAUAGCUGCUCUUUACAGGCCGGCUGUUUUCUUUCAGGUCCUCUUCGUAAAGAGACUAGCAGGUUCUUUCAUAGUGCAGAGUUGUUCAUUAUUUGACCCAGAGAGAGUUGCUGUAAUGCUCCAGGUCGCCUUGAGCGCAAAAAAACGGCUCCUCAGACAGGUAAUGCAUCAGAGGGAGCAGGAGGUCAUGUAAGAGGAUGGUUAGUUACAGUAUGACUAGAAUACGUUCCCACUGGAUAAAGGUGUUGAAUCAUUAAAAUAGUUCAAACUAGAGGGCGCUCUAGGUCUCUGCAUAUACACAAUGUCAUUAUAGUGUUCCUGUGUGGAUUGGGUUUUAGCGGCUAAAAUGUCACACUUUUAUGUCACAUGGAACCUGGCUCAUAACAUCUGCUAACAUCUGUUCCGAACUGCAGUGCCUCUGGGUGGAACAAAGGUAAAUAGAUUAUGGCUGCUGCAUCUGCACCAGUCACUGGAAUUGGCCUGUUUUCUAGCUAAUAGAUAACCGACUACAAACCCAUCAUUCACGGCUAUUGAUUCAAAGCAACCACAGGUAUUCUGCAUUACUUAAUCUACUCAUCCAUCACUGUGUAAUAUAUCUCUGUGUAAUGCUAUUCUGGUUUUGUUACAUAUUGCAAAUCUCAUUUACCUCUUGGGGAUGUCAUUCGAAAACAUCAUGUUAACUUUCACUGCGGAUGACACACACCUGUACAUUUCAAUGAAACAUGGUGAAGCCCCAACAUUGCCCUCGCUAGAAGCCUGUGUUUCAGACAUAAGGAAGUGGAUGGCUGCAAACUUUCAGCUUUUAAACUCCGACAAAACAGAGAUGCUUGUUCUAGGUCCCAAGAAACAAAGUGAUCUUCUGUUGAAUCUGACAAUUAAUCUUGAUGGUUGUACAGUCGUCUCAAAUAAAACUGUGAAGGACCUCGGCAUUACUCUGGACCCUGAUCUUUCUUUUGACAAACGUAUCAAGAUUCCAUCUACAUAACAUUGCAAAAAUCAGAAACCUUCUAUCCAAAAAUGAUGCAGAAAAAUUAAUCCAUGCUUUUUUUACAUCUAGGUUAGACUACUGCAAUGCUCUACUUUCCGGCUACACGGAUAAAGCACUAAAUAAACUUCAGUUAGUGCUAAAUAUGGCUGCUAGAAUCCUGACUAGAACCAAAAAAUUUGAUCAUAUUAUUCCAGUGCUAGCCUCCCUACACUGGCUUACUGUUAAGGCAAGGACUGAUUUCAAGGUUUUACUGCUAACCUACAAAGCAUUACAUGGGCUUGCUCCUACCUAUCUUUCCAAUUUGGUCCUGCCGUACAUACCUAUACGCUACGGUCACAAGAUUCAGGCCUCCUAAUUGUCCCUAGAAUUUCUAAGCAAACAGAUGGAGGCAGGGCUUUCUCCUAUAGAGCUCCAUUUUUAUGGAAUGGUCUACCUACCCAUGUGAGCGACGCAGACUCGUUCUCAACCUUCAAGUCUGUACUGAAGACUCAUCUCUUCAUUGGGUCAUAUAAUUGAGUGUAGUCUGGCCCAGGAGUGUGAAGGUGAACGGAAAGGCUCUGGAGCAAUGAACCGCCCUUGCUGUCUCUGCCUGGCCGGUUCCCCUCUCUCCACUGGGAUUCUCUGCCUCUAAGCCUUUUACAGGGGCUGAGUCACUGGCUUACUGGUGCUCUUUCAUGCCGUCCCUAGGAGGGGUGCUUCACUUGAGUGGAUUGAGUCACUGUCUUGAUCUUCCUGUCUGGGUUGGUGCUCCCCCUUGGGUUGUGCUUGGCGAAGAUCUUUGUGGGCUAUACUCGGCCUUGUCUCAGGAUGAUAAGUUGGUGGUUGAAGAUAUCCCUCUAUUGGUGUGGGCGCUGUGCUUUGGCAAAGUGGGUGGGGUUCCUGUUUGGCCCUGUCCGGGGGUAUCAUCGGAUGGGGCCACAGUGUCUCCUGACCCCUCCUGUCUCAGCCUCCAGUAUUUAUGCUGCAGUAGUUUAUGUUUUGAGGGGCUAGGGUCAGUUUGUUAUAUCUGGAGUACUUCUCCUGUCUUGUGUGAAUUUAAGUAUGCUCUCUCUAAUUCUCUCUUUCUCUCUUUUUUUCUCUCUCUCGGAGGACCUGAGCCCUAGGACCAUGCCUCAGGACUACCUGGCAUGAUGACUCCUUGCUGUCCCCAGUCCACCUUGCCGUGCUGCUGCUCCAUUCUCAACUAUGGAACCCUGACCUGAUCACCGGACGUGCUACCUGUCCCAGACCUGCUGUUUUCAACUCUCUAGAGACAGCAGGAGCGGUAGAGAUAUUCUUAAUGAUCGGCUAUGAAAAGCCAACUGACAUUACUCCUGAGGUGCUGACUUGCUGCACCCUCGACAACCACUGUGAUUAUUAUUAUUUGACCAUGCUGGUCAUUUAUGAACAUUUGAACAUCUUGGCCAUGUUCUGUUAUAAUCUCCACCCGGCACAGCCAGAAGAGGACUGGCCACCCCUCAUAGCCUGGUUCCUCUCUAGGUUUCUUCCUCGGUUUUGGCCUUUCUAGGGAGUUUUUCCUAGCCACCGUGCUUCUACACCUGCAUUGCUUGGUGUUUGGGGUUUUAGGCUGGGUUUAUGUACAGCACUUUGAGAUAUCAGCUGAUGUAAGAAGGGCUAUAGAAAUACAUGUGAUUUGAUUUGAUUUAUGCUAGAAUACAAAAUCCUAGAUGUUUAUUUAUUUAACCCUAUAAUCCAUAUAGAUUUGGUAUAGGUAUGCAUACCAGAGAUUCAUGUAUUGUAUUUCCUCUAUGUUUCUGAUGGUAAGGCUGUUCAAACUGUCCAAAAUGAUAUAAUCCCCCCCCAAGUAACAUAAGGACAAUCUACCAUUGCACACAUUUUUAUUAAUAUUUAUACCCAAAGAAACACUGAGAUCUUUCAUUCUUAAUGUAGAACAACUGCGUAGCCUGUCAUUCCUAAUUAUCAUGUCACCAUAGACAAAGGGUAAAUAUCUGCAGUUUAUCAACAUGCCUUUGAUUGAGGAUGACUUGGCAUAUUUCUACAUCACUCGUUUUCUUCCCAUUACAAUAGCUUAACCCCCCCCCCAAACAGAACAUUCCCUCUAAUGAUGUAAGUUAUUAGGCCCACAAGAGUACCUCAUUUCGAGAUUAUGAAGGUGCAGUCAACGGACGACUUCAGAAUCAUCCAACAAACGUGACAAGUGCUGUGGGUAAUUGUAUUUUGUGGGGCUGAGAAAAUGGCCCCAAUUGGAACAUGUAUAAAUUCUCCAAGUCACACUGUCAAAUGACUGUAUGUUUCUGUAAAAAGCCGAGUGAUGCCAGAAUUCUUUCCAUUACACAGUGAGAAUGAGAGUGUUCCGGAUGACAUCAUAGAGCUCCAUGUCUCUACUCUGUGCUAGCUAGGAGUGGCGAAUGUAACAGCUGGAUUUUAUGUCACUCAUACAGCCUCUGUAACAUCCCGUCAGGUACUCUUCCUUAUGAGGGUCUGCAUUCAACUCAACAUCCCAGGAUAUCUCGAAAAUGCUAAGAGAAAAAUCCGGCGUGUUUCCGAUUUUAAUGCCUACAUCAGAGCGGGUAACCAAACCAAGAUGUGUUCAAGCACAAUGUUGUUCCAUCCAAAAGAUGACUUCAGGUCUCAGGCCUGUGACUCACCAGAUACAAAAAUAAGUUGAUUUAUCAGAGUCACUUAAUCCCUUUGUUUACACAUUGUUUGUAAACAUAUGCUGAUGUUGUCUUUUUUUAAUUUUAACUUGAUUUAACUACACAAGCCAGUUAAGAACAAAUUCUUAUUUUCUAUGACAGCCUAGGAACGUUGGGUUAACUGCCUGUUCAGGAGCAGAAUGACAGAUUUGUACCUUGACAGCUUGGGGAUUUGAACUUGCAACCUUUUGGUUACUAGUCCAACACUCUAACCACUAGGCUACCCUGCCGCCCCUUUCAAAACAAACAUUUGUACUUCUGUGUCAAUUGCUCCAAGAAGACAGCAGACACGCCUUUAUUUUGAACAGUCCAUCUCGGAAUUAAUUUGACUUUAUACUGUAAAUCACAACAGUCAGUCUUUAAAGUCUUGCUGAGAAGGGACAACGCAGUAAUCAUCAAGCAUGAGAAGUGACAACACAGUAAUCAUCAAGCAUGAGAAGUGACAACGCAGUAAUCAUCAAGCAUGAGAAGUGACAACGCAGUAAUCAUCAAGCAUGAGAAGUGACAAUACAGUAAUCAUCAAGCAUGAGAAGUGACAACACAGUAAUCAUCAAGCAUGAGAAGUGACAACGCAGUAAUCAUCAAGCAUGAGAAGUGACAACGCAGUAAUCAUCAAGCAUGAGAAGUGACAAUACAGUAAUCAUCAAGCAUGAGAAGUGACAACACAGUAAUCAUCAAGCAUGAGAAGUGACAAUACAGUAAUCAUCAAGCAUGAGUAGUGACAAUACAGUAAUCAUCAAGCAUGAGAAGUGACAACGCAGUAAUCAUCAAGCAUGAGAAGUGACAACGCAGUAAUCAUCAAGAAUGAGAAGUGACAACGCAGUAAUCAUCAAGCAUGAGAAGUGACAAUACAGUAAUCAUCAAGCAUGAGAAGUGACAACGCAGUAAUCAUCAAGCAUGAGAAGUGACAAUACAGUAAUCAUCAAGCAUGAGAAGUGACAACGCAGUAAUCAUCAAGCAUGAGAAGUGACAACGCAGUAAUCAUCAAGCAUGAGAAGUGACAACGCAGUAAUCAUCAAGCAUGUUCAUUUCCAACCAAUCAAAUUGAGUUGAUUGGUUUCUCUAAGCCCCUAGACUUCUCAGAAACUACCACACCCCUCUCCUCUCUCUUUCUCUACUUAGCCAGUGGCUGUACUCUAGUCACAGUAAAGCAGGAAGAGAGGUUAAUUUUCCUGGUGAUGUCACUGGCCCCUAAGGCUCCUAGCUUCAGCGUGGGAGAUGAACGAGGGGAAUGUGUGAAGCUUUGGAGUGUGAUGAUAACAUGAAUCAGGCCCCCGAGCAAUGUCCUCACCACAUUCUGACAUUCAGAGCACCUAGAGGGUAGUUACUUCCUGUGUUCCUCCACAUGGAGGGAUGGGAAGGACCCAGACAGGAAACAGUCCAGAGAUUUUGACUGCUCUGAGAAAACAGGGAUGUUAGACUUUACUCUCUCUUCCCCAGGAAGAAGGGAUGUCAUUCCUCCUCUUUGUCCUCCUCACACCAUCACUUGGGUAUUAAUGGAUCACUAUUUCAGCUCAGGGUCAAUGUCUGUCAAGAGAAAUUCAACAUACGUUUGACUACUGUGUUCCCACCACCACAAUACAGUUUACUACUAUACAAAAAAUAAACAACCAUUAUGGAUCCAACACAUUUAGUCACUUAAUUGUGUUAUUGUAUGCCUUUGACUUUUAUCCUAUCACCUCCUGGGUUCACCCUAAAGUCUGUCACCUCCUGGGUUCACCCUAAAGUCUGUCACCUAAUGGGUUCACCCUAAAGUCUGUCACCUCCUGGGUUCACCCUAAAGUCUGUCACCUACUGGGUUCACCCUAAAGUCUGUCACCUACUGGGUUCACCCUAAAGUCUGUCACCUACUGGGUUCACCCUAAAGUCUGUCACCUCCUGGGUUCACCCUAAAGUCUGUCACCUACUGGGUGCACCCUAAACUCUAUCACCUACUGGGUUCACCAUAAAGUCUGUCACCUACUGGGUGCACCCUAAACUCUAUCACCUACUGGGUGCACCCUAAACUCUAUCACCUGCUGGGUGCUACUGGGUGCACCAUAAACACUAUCAUCUACUGGGUGCACCAUAAACUCUAUCACCUACUGGGUGCACCCUAAACUCUAUCACCUACUGGGUUCACCAUAAAGUCUGUCACCUACUGGGUGCACCCUAAACUCUAUCACCUACUGGGUGCACCCUAAACUCUAUCACCUACUGGGUGCACCCUAAAGUCUGUCACCUACUGUGUGCACCAUAAAGUCUGUCACCUACUGUGUGCACCCUAAACUCUAUCACCUACUGGGUGCACCCUAAACUCUAUCACCUACUGGGUGCACCCUGAAGUCUGUCACCUACUGUGUGCACCAUAAAGUCUGUCACCUACUGUGUGCACCCUAAACUCUAUCACCUACUGGGUGCACCCUAAACUCUAUCACCUACUGGGUGCACCCUGAAGUCUGU